GUGUGUGUGUGACAAAUCGACACUUGUAUCGAGAGAUGGUGAGUGAUAAAAUUCAGACGCGGCCGAAAGUGCGAUAAGAUUGGGGGUUUGAUAAAUUGAGUAGUUUCGUACUUUCAUUUUCACGGAUUGGUUCAAUUCGAAGAGAAGGAGAGAGGAAUUGGGCAGAGAUGAGAUGGAGAGACGAAUUUGAGAAGCUGUCGAGGAAUAUAAGCGGCGGCUACGACGAUCCAACCACCACGGAAGAAGAUUAGCGUCAGCUCCGACGGACUAAUACUUUGUCGACCAGAAAGAAGACCGGCAAAUUUGGCAACCUGGUGAGGAAGAUUAGCGGCGGCUCCGACGUACUAACCAACGGGGAAGAAGACUUGCGGCGGCUCCGAUAACCUAUUCCUAGCCUGGUUUCGAGAUCUUGGGGCCGGUUUCAGUAAAAUAUUAUCAGAGAGACGCUGUGCACAAGAUUUCGGAAAUCCUCCAAAUAUGCCCCGAUGAUGCGUUUACCUUACUAAAAUGCUUCCGUUGGUGUGGAGAUCAUGUUCUUGAUGGCUGGUUUGAUGGACUGAUUGACACGUCCAAGUAUCUCCUGUGCCCUUCUCCUAACGAUGAUGAGUUCUGCUGUGGCAUUUGCUUCGAUACUCUUCCUAUUCUUAAGGCUGCGCCCUCUUUGUGUGGUCACCUUUAUUGCAAAGGUUGCAUGAAAGCAUACCUCUCUGUUCUUGUAAAAGAUCAUGGAUCAACUGUCCUAGACACCAAGUGUCCACAUGAGAAAUGUGACAGAACCUUAGGCCUAGGUUUAGUAAAAGCAUCAGCAAGUCCUAGGGAUUUCGAAAAAUAUCGUAGGUUUUCUAUGAGGUCAUACAUUGAGGAUAGUACAACGCGGAAAUGGUGUCCUUCCCCUAACUGCAACUGUGCCAUAGCACUCAAAGAUCCAUCAUCGAUUCUGUUGGCAGUGUAACUGGGAAGGGCACUAUCCUGCAGACUGCUCAAUUGCCAUUAACUGGUUGAGUUUUGAACACAAUGAGAAGUGUAAUAACUGG